rnacentral:rRNA from 1 species
CAACUUUCAGCAACGGAUCUCUUGGCUCUCGCAUCGAUGAAGAACGCAGCGAAAUGCGAUAAGUAAUGUGAAUUGCAGAAUUCAGUGAAUCAUCGAAUCUUUGAACGCACCUUGCGCCCUUUGCCAUUCCGAAGGGCAUGCCUGUUUGAGUAUCAUG